UACGGAGGGGGCUAGCGUUGUUCGGAAUUACUGGGCGUAAAGGGCGCGUAGGCGGCCUUCUAAGUCGGACGUGAAAUCCCUCGGCUUAACCGAGGAACUGCGUCCGAUACUGAAAGGCUUGAAUCCGGGAGAGGGAUGUGGAAUUCCAGGUGUAGCGGUGAAAUGCGUAGAUAUCGGGAGGAACACCAGUGGCGAAGGCGGCGACCUGGGCCAAUAUUGACGCUGAGGUGCGAAAGCGUGGGGAGCAAACAGG
rnacentral:rRNA from 1 species